AACCAUAGAAACCUGCGGAGUACCUGCGGAGGGAUCAUUACCGAGUUUACAACUCCCAAACCCCAAUGUGAACCUCUACCUAAUCGUUGCCUCGGCGGGAUCGCCCCGCGGCGCCCCCUCCAGGGCGUCCGGAUCACACGGCGCCCGCCGCAGGACCCCCCAAACUCUCUUGCAUCUCCGGCGUCGUUUUCUUCUGAGUGGACCUUUUUCCUCGCGAGAGCGGGGUGAAAAUGAAUCAAA
rnacentral:misc_RNA from 1 species